rnacentral:rRNA from 1 species
UACGUAGGGUGCAAGCGUUAAUCGGAAUUACUGGGCGUAAAGCGUGCGCAGGCGGUUGUGCAAGUCAGAGGUUAAAUCCCCGGGCUCAACCUGGGAAUUGCAUUUGUGACUGCACGGCUAGAGUGUGUCAGAGGGGGGUAGAAUUCCACGUGUAGCAGUGAAAUGCGUAGAGAUGUGGAGGAAUACCGAUGGCGAAGGCAGCCCCCUGGGAUAACACUGACGCUCAUGCACGAAAGCGUGGGGAGCAAACAGG